rnacentral:tRNA from 1 species
GGGGUGUAGCUCAGUUGGUUAGAGCGCUGGCCUGUCACGCCAGAGGCCGCGGGUUCAAGUCCCGUCACUCC